GCGGGCUUGGUGUAAAUGGGAUCACGUUAGACUGAAGAUCUAAAGGUACUCGGUUCGAUCCCGAGAGUCCGCA